GGAGAACUCUGAAUGUCUUAAGGAUGUGUUUUGAGUCCUCACAGGUGACCUUGCUGAGGAAAAGCAUGACGGAGGAGAAACGCAGCCUGAAUGUUUUAUGUACCUUUUAAGUGUCCGUCAGUGAAAGGUUUUGCUUAGAAAGCAUGAGUUUUAAUAUCUAGUCGUGAUCUGCACACGUGCAAACGCAGAGGGUGAGAGCGGCUGAGGCUCCUUGGAGAGUUCACCAUGGUUGCAUUAGUUACCUGGGCAUGUAGCAGCCAGCCACUGGCCGGUGUAAAUGUUUCGUGGUUGUUUGAUCGUUUUUAAAACCUGC
rnacentral:lncRNA from 1 species